UCUUCGAAAUAUUGACCAAAAUGGUAUGAUAAUAAGUCGAGAACGUUGAAACCAACUUUGUAUAGUAUAAUAUUUAAACAUGCGCACACUGCACACGUGCAAGAAAGAAAACAAUCUCUUACAAGGCCCGUUAUUACAAGCCCCAUCAAAACGAAUUCAUAUCUAACGUGUUCUUAUUACGCUUUAACAAAGCCGCGACCGCUUCACCGUACAUACAACUCCCAGCGAAAGCCUCCGUCGCCAGCUCAUCAUCUCCGACGUCUGAAUAUUCCCUGCUCGGCCUUACGAUCACGAGGGUCGCGGAUUCUAAACAUAUACCACUCUUUAGCUUAAGCGACGGCGCGUGUCUCAUGCUCAUCCUCACGCUCGGGACCACACUCCUCUGUUUUUUUUCCACGCGCUCCUCGAGUUCUUGAUCACGCGCGGCCUCCGUCUUUCGAAACUCUCUCAGCCCCUCGGAUUUCAUCACCACCGUCCCUUCUCCUCCUCUUUCAUGCAUCACUAAGCUCUCCAUCUUAUUAGUGUAUAUAGAGUCAUUGUAUAUAUCGGUUUAGUAUUAGCUACUUAGCUUACCGGUUAGACUCGGUUUAGAGUUAAUUAUGAAGUGUAUAUAAACCCCAAUUGUACAUUGUUGAUAAUUAAUGAGAAUAUCUACGUUUACUCAUAUGGUAUCAGAGCAAAUCAUUCUCAUUCUCUAACAAACUUUCUCGCAUUCGAUCAAUCGCAUUUUCCCGUCGGAUUCUCACCGGAAUCUCGCCGGAUCUCGUUCACCGAUCAUCAUUCCACCGUCGAUUUGCAUAUCUCCUCGUCUUCCUGUGCGAUUCAAGCCUCGUCUCAGCUGAAUCGAUUCUCAAUGGGAAAGCGAACCUGUAAAUCGAAGUAUCGUUCUAAUCAUCCGAGUUCACCAGUUGCAGAUUCUCCAAUCUCUCCGAUGACUCGUGGUGAAGCGUCGCACUCUAAUCCAGCUCGUCAACCAUCGGAGUCUCUUUCUCCUACAUCCGGUGACGCAGCUCGAUUCGUCGAUUCUCGACCUACUGUGAUAUCUUCCGCUGAUCGUUUUGAGGUAUCCAACAGUCCUAACAAUAUUCAUUCUCCAUACUAUUUGCAUAACUCCGAUCAUCCCGGCCUAGUCUUAGUCUCAGAACCUCUAGAUGGAAACAACUAUGGAAUCUGGUUGAUUGCUAUGACGACUAGUCUUGAAGCUAAGAAUAAGCUAGGUUUCUUGGAUGGAUCGAUUGCUAAACCUCUGGAGAAUGAUCAAUAUUUCAAGAUUUGGUGUCGUUGCAAUAGUAUGGUCAAGUCUUGGUUGCUGAAUAGUGUAUCUAAGAAGAUCUACACUAGCAUUCUAUACAUCAAGCAUGCUGCAGAUAUAUGGAAGGAUUUGCAUACUCGUUUUCACAAAUCAAACCUUCCGCGUCUCUAUAAGCUUCGACAUCAGAUCCAUUCAUUGCGUCAAGGGAGUUUGGAUCUCUCGUCCUAUCACACACAAACGCAGGCUCUUUGGGAAGAAUUAAUCAGUAUUCAACCACCUGCCUCAACUGUUGAAGAGUUCUUGGCUGAGAAAGAGACUAACCGUGUCAUUGAUUUUCUUAUGGGAUUGAAUGAAAGCUAUGAGAGUAUUCGCAGCAGGAUAUUAAUGAAGAAAGCCUUCCCUUCUCUAUCAGAGGUGUUUAAUCUUCUUGAUCAGGAGGAUAGUCAAAGAAAUGCAUCUGUCCUGCCUUCUCCGGAUCUCUCUACAACAGCUUUUCAUGUGUCUCAAUCUUCAGGACAUGGUGCUAUACCUCAGUCAUUUUCUUCAUCAUCUAGUGGACCAUCUGGGGGAUAUAUCAGGAAAGAUAGACCAUAUUGUACGCAUUGCCAUCGUGUUGGACAUGUUGUUGACAAAUGUUACAAGAAGCAUGGUUAUCCUAACAGCUUCAAGCCGAAUCAGAGGAAUGAUAAAAUCUCCAUUCCAGUUACUGCUAAUGUAACGGUUGAAGAAGCUGUAUCAGAUGAUUUGUCUCCUAUUCAGAUUCAACAGCUCGUGUCCUUCCUCAGUAGCAAGCUUCAGAGUCCAAUGGAUCAUCCUAAACCCGAGGUUCACUCUGUCUCAGUUUCUGUGCCUUCUUCUUCAUCAAACACUUGCCCAAUUUCCGGUACUUUCACUCCCUCUAUCCUUUGUUCUUUUACCGGAGUUGAUAGGCCUUAUAUUUGUUCCACAAACACUUCUGUCAAUGCCAUUAAUGCUUGGGUGAUAGAUUCAGGAGCAACCAACCAUAUUUCUCAUCAACAAUCAUCUUUUACUUCUGUUAAAACCCUCCCUGACACUAACGUAACCCUUCCUAAUGGAGUUCUGGUGAACAUUGUUGGAAUAGGAAACAUUAGUCUAGGUAGCCACAUUACCUUAACUGAUGUCUUAUACAUCCCACAAUUUAAGUUCAACCUACUUAGUGUCAGUUGCAUUACAAAGAAGAUGCAUUGUAGAGUCUGGUUUGAUGAGUUUUCUUGUGGUAUUCAGGAGCCUACACAGGAAUUAAUGAUUGGAAUGGGUAGAGAAGUCGCAAACCUUUAUUUCUUGGACAUCGAGUCAGUUUCUUCACAAGGUACCGUGUCUUCUUUUAAAAACUUUGUUGGGUCUGUUGUUAGUAUGGAAAUGUGGCAUAAGAGAUUAGGUCAUCCUUCUCAUUCUAAACUUGAAACAAUGAAAUCUUUGUUGUCUUUUCCCAAAAAUUUGAAUAAAGAUGAUACUCAUUGUCACGUUUGCCAUCUCUCUAAACAAAAACAUUUACCUUUUCCCACAAGUAAAAAUAGAAGCACUGAACCUUUUGAUCUUGUUCACAUAGAUGUCUGGGGACCCUUUUCAAUUCCUACUCAUGAUGGCUUUCGGUAUUUUCUUACCAUUGUGGAUGAUUUCUCUCGGGCAACAUGGGUGUAUCUCCUAAAGUCUAAGUCUGAUGUCAUUACAGUCUUCCCUAUUUUUGUUACCAUGGUAGAAACCCAAUUUGAUAGGAAACUUAAGAGGGUUAGAUCUGACAAUGCACCAGAACUCAAUUUCACCUCUUUCUUUCAAUCAAAAGGCAUUCUUUCCUUUCAUUCCUGCCCAGAAACUCCACAACAAAAUUCUGUUGUGGAACGAAAACACCAACAUAUCUUAAAUGUUGCUCGUUCUCUUCAAUUUCAAUCUCAUAUUCCUCUUUGUUAUUGGGGUGAUUGCGUUCUCACCGCUGUUCAUCUCAUUAAUCGCAUUCCUUCUCUCAUCACUGAUCAUAAAAGUCCUUUUGAACUCUUAACCAAAAAGCUCCCUGAUUACAUUUCACUUAAAACAUUUGGUUGCUUAUGUUAUGCUUCUACCUCACCCAAGGGCAGACACAAAUUCGAUCCUAGAGCUCGUGCUUGUGUCCUUAUAGGUUACCCUCCAGGUGUUAAAGGAUACAAGCUCCUCGAUCUUCAAACUAAUUCCAUUUCAGUUUCUCGUCAUGUUACAUUUCAUGAGGAUCUUUUUCCUUUCGUUGGAGUUGAUUUAGAUUCAGAACAUCAUAAUUUUUUCCCUGAUCUAACUUCCUCAACUUCCAACAUAGAUCCCAUGGUUUCUCCUGUGUUUUCUCCUGAUGCAGAAACUUCUUCUUCUGCAUCAAUCCCGAAGGUUUUGCCCACUGCAAUUCCUUCUUCUGAUGUUUCUGAUUCCUCUGAUCAGACAUCACACAGGAAAACUAAAACACCUGCUUAUCUUAAAGACUACUACUGCAAUGAAGCAGAGUAUAGAAGUCUUUCGGUGGUUUCUGAUGAGCUUUUCUGGCUUACUAACUUCCUCAAAGAACUUCACUUCAAUCUCGCCAAACCGUCAUUGUUAUUUUGUGACAACACUGCUGCGAUUCAUAUUGCACACAAUGCUGUGUUUCAUGAGCGCACGAAGAACUUGGAGAUUGAUUGUCACAGCGUACGGGAAAGAAUGGUUGCAGGUUAUUUCAAAUUGCUUCAUGUGCGUACUGACUUGCAACUAGCUGAUCCUUUCACUAAAGCUCUGUAUCCGGCUCCGUUUCGACGUCUGUAUGGCAAGAUGGGUCUUCUCAAUAUCUUUGUCCCAUCUUGAGGGGGACUAUUAGUGUAUAUAGAGUCAUUGUAUAUAUCGGUUUAGUAUUAGCUACUUAGCUUACCGGUUAGACUCGGUUUAGAGUUAAUUAUGAAGUGUAUAUAAACCCCAAUUGUACAUUGUUGAUAAUUAAUGAGAAUAUCUACGUUUACUCAUACAUCUCCUUGUGCUCCUUCACGACUUGGCUCAUCAGGUGAUGACGUGUCGACGCGGCCAUCAACGCCUUUAUCGUCCACUCCACGCGCGUUUUAAGACCAGUCACGAACUCGGCGUCUGACUCACCGUCGGGAGAAGACACGGUGGAGG
rnacentral:lncRNA from 1 species